rnacentral:rRNA from 1 species
GACGAACCGUACGAACGUUAUUCGGAAUUACUGGGCUUAAAGGGUGCGUAGGCUGCGCGGAAAGUUGGGUGUGAAAUCCCUCGGCUCAACCGAGGAACUGCGCCCAAAACUACCGUGCUCGAGGGAGACAGAGGUGAGCGGAACUUAGGGUGGAGCGGAUGAAAUGCGUUGAUAUCCUAAGGAACACCCGUGGCGAAAGCGGCGUCACUGGGUCUCUUCUGACGCUGAGGCACGAAAGCUAGGGUAGCGAACGGG